GUGAGGAAUAUUGCGCAAUGGAGGCAACUCUGACGCAGCCAUGCCGCGUGCAGGAAGAAGGCGCUACGCGUUGUAAACUGCUUUUAACCGGGAAGAAACCCCAGGACGUGUCCUGGGUUGACGGUACCGGAGGAAUAAGCACCGGCUAACUUCGUGCCAGCAGCCGCGGUAAUACGAAGGGUGCAAGCGUUAUCCGGAUUCAUUGGGUUUAAAGGGUGCGUAGGCGGAGCGUUAAGUCAGUGGUGAAAUCCUGCAGCUUAACUGUAGACUUGCCAGUGAUACUGGCGCUCUUGAGUGCGCUUGAAGUGGGCGGAAUGUGCCGUGUAGCGGUGAAAUGCUUAGAUAUGGCACAGAACACCAAUUGCGAAGGCAGCUCACUAAGGCGAUACUGACGCUGAGGCACGAAAGCGUGGGGAUCGAACAGGAUUAGAAACCCCUGUAGUCC
rnacentral:rRNA from 1 species